rnacentral:rRNA from 1 species
CCUACGGGUGGCAGCAGUGGGGAAUAUUGGACAAUGGGCGAAAGCCUGAUCCAGCCAUGCCGCGUGUGUGAAGAAGGCCUUCGGGUUGUAAAGCACUUUCAGUGGGGAAGAAAGCCUUGGGGCUAAUACCCUCGAGGAAGGACAUCACCCACAGAAGAAGCACCGGCUAACUCCGUGCCAGCAGCCGCGGUAAUACGGAGGGUGCGAGCGUUAAUCGGAAUUACUGGGCGUAAAGCGCGCGUAGGCGGUCUGAUAAGCCGGUUGUGAAAGCCCCGGGCUCAACCUGGGAACGGCAUCCGGAACUGUCAGGCUAGAGUACAGGAGAGGAAGGUAGAAUUCCCGGUGUAGCGGUGAAAUGCGUAGAGAUCGGGAGGAAUACCAGUGGCGAAGGCGGCCUUCUGGACUGACACUGACGCUGAGGUGCGAAAGCGUGGGUAGCAAACAGGAUUAGAUACCCUUGUAGUC